rnacentral:rRNA from 1 species
GACGAACGCUGGCGGCGUGCUUAACACAUGCAAGUCGAACGGAAAGGCCCUGCUUUUGUGGGGUGCUCGAGUGGCGAACGGGUGAGUAACACGUGAGUAACCUGCCCUUGACUUUGGGAUAACUUCAGGAACCUGGGGCUAAUACCGGAUAGGAGCUCCUGCUGCAUGGUGGGGGUUGGAAAGUUUCGGCGGUUGGGGAUGGACUCGCGGCUUAUCAGCUUGUUGGUGGGGUAGUGGCUUACCAAGGCUUUGACGGGUAGCCGGCCUGAGAGGGUGACCGGCCACAUUGGGACUGAGAUACGGCCCAGACUCCUACGGGAGGCAGCAGUGGGGAAUAUUGCACAAUGGACGGAAGCCUGAUGCAGCAACGCCGCGUGCGGGAUGACGGCCUUCGGGUUGUAAACCGCUUUCGCCUGUGACGAAGCGUGAGUGACGGUAAUGGGUAAAGAAGCACCGGCUAACUACGUG